rnacentral:tRNA from 1 species
UAUACCUUAGUAUAUGACGUACGAGAAUUUUUGAUAUUCUUAGGAGUAGUUUAACCCUACUGGGUAUAA